GUUGGUACUUACUAUACUCAGCACUGCAGAGUUGGAAUAUUCAACUGCGGAUUAUUGAAUGGCCAUUUUUGGUUGUGUUUAUAACAAUCAAAUUCAAGGAAAGUAUAGAAGUUAAAGAGAUGAUUUUCUAUGCAUAGCAACAAGGAAUCGAACAUGUGUUAGUUAUUUCUCAGACAAUAGUGUACUAUAGUAGUAUAAUACCAUAUCAUGUUUAUGUACCACAAUUCAUAGGCGUCCAUUUAGGGGUUCCGGAGUGCCAUGUCACCCCAGUUUUCAAAACAAUUGUGAGAUAAAGUGUUUUGGCCCAAGUUUUACAGAUCACCACAAAUUUUAACCUGCUGUUGAUUGUCUGGCCUAUAGAAACAAUCAUGCCCAAACCAUACUCGAAUCAUACUAUUCAAUGAAGUUUGUUUAUGUUUCAAGCUGUGAUCGUAAAUGCAUUUAAUCACUUCACACUAGAUUUUUAAAAUGUGAAUCUCAAUCCAAUCUUAAAUCACCUAAAUUUGUUGGGUAUUACUAUUCAAAAAACGGGUUGUACCUGUUAAUUUAUUCAAUACAUUGUUAUCAUACAAUAACAUGUUUUACUUUUUGUUAAACAAAAAUGAGUUUCAUAGUGAACUAUUUAAUGCAAAUUGUUUUUUACAUCUGUGAGUUAAACUAGGUCACCUGGUCAAACAUAAUGUGGCUUUGUGAUAUGCUAAUUUUUAUAAAUGUGGACGAGACAGAUAUAAUGCAUAGAAAAUAGAACUGUAUUUCACACAAUGCUUCUUCAUUUGUUUUAGUAUCCAAAAUGUGUGCAGUUAAGUAAUAAAUGUGCAAUAAGCUAAUAUACAUAAACAUUUUAUGUAUUCUUUGUCAAACUUUACUAUUCUUUGUCAAAUUAUAAUGUUGCAACCCC